rnacentral:rRNA from 1 species
GACGAACGCUGGCGGCGUGCUUAACACAUGCAAGUCGAACGGAAAGGCCCUGCUUUUGUGGGGUGCUCGAGUGGCGAAUGGGUGAGUAACACGUGAGUAACCUGCCCUUGACUUUGGGAUAACUUCAGGAAACUGGGGCUAAUACCGGAUAGGAGCUCCUGCUGCAUGGUGGGGGUUGGAAAGUUUCGGCGGUUGGGGAUGGACUCGCGGCUUAUCAGCUUGUUGGUGGGGUAGUGGCUUACCAAGGCUUUGACGGGUAGCUGGCCUGAGAGGGUGACCGGCCACAUUGGGACUGAGAUACGGCCCAGACUCCUACGGGAGGCAGCAGUGGGGAAUAUUGCACAAUGGGCGGAAGCCUGAUGCAGCAACGCCGCGUGCGGGAUGACGGCCUUCGGGUUGUAAACCGCUUUCGCCUGUGACGAAGCGUGAGUGACGGUAAUGGGUAAAGAAGCACCGGCUAACUACGUG